AUUGAACGCUGGCGGCAGGCCUAACACAUGCAAGUCGAGCGGAGCGGCGGACGGGUGAGUAAUGCCUAGGAAUCUGCCUGGUAGUGGGGGAUAAGGUCGGGAAACGGGAGCUAAUACCGCAAACUCUCAGUUGAGCCUGGGUCGGAUUAGCUAGUGGGGGGGGUAAAGGCCUACCAAGGCGACGAUCCGUAACUGGUCUGGGAGGAUGAUCAGUCACACGGGAACUGAGACACGGUCCAGACUCCUACGGGAGGCAGCAGUGGGGAAUAUUGGACAAUGGGCGAAAGCCUGAUCCAGCCAUGCCGCGUGUGUGAAGAAGGUCUUCGGAUUGUAAAGCACUUUCAGCGGGGAGGCGUUACCCGCAGAAGAAGCACCGGCUAACUCCGUGCCAGCAGCCGCGGUAAUUC
rnacentral:rRNA from 1 species